UACUUGCGAUUCCAAUAUCAACGGUAGCUUCAGAGUCUACAUUUAGUGCUGGAGGUAGAAUUAUAGAUGAAUAUCGUUCAAGAUUGAAUGAAGAAUCUAUUGAGACACUAAUUUGUGGAGGAGAUUGGCUUCGACAUAAAUACAACUUGAAAAAAAAGAAGGUGAAUGAGUCUUUGAAGGAGAUAAGCUUAUAGAUUAAAGAAGUUCUUUAAUACUUUGGUUGCGGAGUGGAAAUGCUAAUGUCCAGAAGAUAUUAUUGAUCUAUUUGCUAUUUUUCUCUUGAAACUUUUAUUGUAUUGAUUUAAUGGUUUCAGAAACUUUGGGGGAAUUUGCAAUUCUUGUGGCUUGUGGCCUGUGGGUGACGUGAACUUGAAAAACUAUGUUAUUAAUUUCUAAAUAUUUUUGUCGAAUUUUUUAAUAUUGCUUCUGAGUUAGCGUUGCUUAUUUCUUUGUUAGAACAAUCAGCUUAAUGACAAUAGAUUGAUGUAAACUGUUUUUUUUUUUUUAAUGUCAUUAUGCAGUAAUUUCUAUCAGCUUUUGUCUGGAGUUUGCAAGACUUAUUCCCAAUAAUUAUAUAUAUAUUUGAAUGAAUUGUAAUAUACGUUUUUUUGCAAAUUAUUAGUAUAAUAUAUUGUAUUUUUAUAUGGCAAUAAAAAUGAUUAUUUUUGUCAUUAAAAAACAGAAUUUUUUAUUUUUUUAUAUAUAAUAUAAAUAAUUGUAUCUGUUUUAUUUUUUAUUUAUA